GAUGAACGCUGGCGGCGUGCCUAAUACAUGCAAGUCGAGCGAACGGACGAGAAGCUUGCUUUUCUGAUGUUAGCGGCGGACGGGUGAGUAACACGUGGAUAACCUACCUAUAAGACUGGGAUAACUUCGGGAAACCGGAGCUAAUACCGGAUAAUAUUUUGAACCGCAUGGUUCAAAAGUGAAAGACGGUCUUGCUGUCACUUAUAGAUGGAUCCGCGCUGCAUUAGCUAGUUGGUAAGGUAACGGCUUACCAAGGCAACGAUGCAUAGCCGACCUGAGAGGGUGAUCGGCCACACUGGAACUGAGACACGGUCCAGACUCCUACGGGAGGCAGCAGUAGGGAAUCUUCAGCAAUAGGCGAAAGCCUGACGGAGCAACGCCGCGUGAAUGAUGACGGUCUUCGGAUCGUAAAACUCUGUUAUUAGGGAAGAACAUAUGUGUAAGUAACUGUGCACAUCUUGACGGUACCUAAUCAGAAAGCCACGGCUAACUACGUG
rnacentral:rRNA from 1 species